CACGUAGGGUGCGAGCGUUGUCCGGAAUUAUUGGGCGUAAAGAGCUCGUAGGCGGUGUGUCGCGUCGGCCGUGAAAACUUGCAGCUUAACUGUGGGCGUGCGGUCGAUACGGGCAUCACUGGAGUUCGGCAGGGGAGACUGGAAUUCCUGGUGUAGCGGCGAAAUGCGCAGAUAUCAGGAGGAACACCGAUGGCGAAGGCAGGUCUCUGGGCAUUAACUGACGCUGAGGAGCGAAAGCAUGGGGAGCGAACAGG
rnacentral:rRNA from 1 species